rnacentral:rRNA from 1 species
UGGGGAAUAUUGGACAAUGGGCGAAAGCCUGAUCCAGCCAUGCCGCGUGCAGGAUGACGGUCCUAUGGAUUGUAAACUGCUUUUUGUACAGGAAGAAACAGUUCUACGUGUAGAACCUUGACGGUACUGUAAGAAUAAGGAUCGGCUAACUCCGUGCCAGCAGCCGCGGUAAUACGGAGGCCUCGAGCGUUAGACGGAAUCACUGGGCUUAAAGCGUGUGUAGGCGGAAGGGUAAGUACCUUGUGAAAUCCCACGGCUUAACCGUGGAACGGCUUGGUAUACUGCUUUUCUUGAGCAAUCUAGGGGCGAGUGGAACAGAUGGUGGAGCGGUGAAAUGCGUAGAUAUCAUCUGGAACGCCAAUGGUGAAGACAACUCGCUGGGGAUUUGCUGACGCUGAGACACGAAAGCCAGGGGAGCGAACGGGAUUAGAUACCACGUAGUCCCUGAGCGGGCUGGCAAGGCGCAU